rnacentral:rRNA from 1 species
UUGGAGGGCAAGUCUGGUGCCAGCAGCCGCGGUAAUUCCAGCUCCAAUAGCGUAUAUUAAAGUUGUUGCAGUUAAAAAGCUCGUAGUUGAAUUUCGGGGUUCAUACGUUGGUCGGGCUAUUUGGUCUGUACUUAUGUAAUGGAUUCCUACCUUCUGAAUAACCGGCAUGCCAUUAAUUUGGUGCGCCGGGGAAGCAGGACUGUUACCUUGAAAAAAUUAGAGUGCUUAAAGCAGGCUAUCGCCUGAAUACAUUAGCAUGGAAUAAUGAAAUAGGACGGCAUGGUUCUAUUUUGUUGGUUUCUAGGAUCACCGUAAUGAUUAAUAGGGAUAGUUGGGGGCAUUAGUAUUCAAUUGUCAGAGGUGAAAUUCUUGGAUUUAUUGAAGACUAACUUCUGCGAAAGCAUUUGCCAAGGAUGUUUUCAUUAAUCAAGAACGAAAGUUAGGGGAUCGAAGACGAUCAGAUACCGUCGUAGUCUUAACCAUAAACUAUGCCGACUAGGGAUCGGACGAUGUUAAUUUUUUAAUGACUCAUUCGGCGCCUUACGGGAAAC